CUGCAUGGAAGUCAUUGAGCCGCCAGGAUCUCCUCUCUGCUCUAACCAUGGAGGCUGCCUCAGUUCCCUCCUUACCCCAAUGAACAUUGUUCUGCAUCCUCCCCAUCCCACCUCCCAACGCCCACACUCUGGGCUCCCGUUAUUUAGCAAACCGUGGUCUCCAAAAGGGCAGCUCUGGGAACUCUUCCAAAUCUGGGCCUGCUUGUGUACCUUUGUGUUUUCCUUAACAAACUUCCUAGAGGGAGGAAGAUAAUCUCACUGUGUGGAUUUACUGAUCUAUCAUGGAGUGUCAUCUUGGUCUAUACCUGGCUGGGGGAAGGGGCAGCAACCCAGCUCCCAAGUCUCUCUCCACCGCCCCCCUCUCUGGGCUUUUGGCUCUGAAGAUUUGCAGAGAACAAGACUUUGGUCUGGCUUAUGUCUGUGCGUGGGACAGAACCUGGGACAUGGGAGCCUCAGGCAUGGCAGACAGUCCUUUUGCAUAACCAUUAUGCUGUCUCCCCAGUCACAUCUUGACGGUGAGACUCUUGGUAGACCAUCCAUGAUCCAUUAGAGUGAGUCUCUCCUUGGAGACCUGUGUGGAGUCUGUGGGUCUCCUCUCCGCAGGACCAGAAGCCGUGCUCCUCACCCCCAGGUCACAAGAAGCCCCCGAGGAUGUCCUUUCUCUGAAGGGAGAGUGGAGGGGCAGUAGGGCCUGAGAACAGGCUCUCUCAUGAAGAGCAGUCCUGCCCCAGCAGCAGCACCCCACUCCAACCAGUGCUAGCUCUGAGACGCCCUGUGGCUGAGCUUGUACACCAGCUGCUGUGGAGAGGCCAGUGGAGACAGAAGCAAUACUCACAGCAGAUUCUGCUUCUCCAGACAACCACACAGUGACACUAGGUGAGAUUUGUAUAGCUGUGAGAGCCCAUAACUGGAGCACUGGGCUUCCAGACUCACCCACCCCCAACUCCCCACCUCCUUAGAAGUGCAAACAGGAAGCCCAAGGUCAGGACUGGGUGGUGGUGCACCUGGUUAAGUGCACAUAUCACCAUGCUCAAGGACCAGGGUUCAAGUCUCUACUCCCCACCUGCAGAGGCAACUUUUUUUUUUUGGAGGGGGGCUCCAGGGUUAUCACUGGGGGCCCUGUGCCUGCACUACAAAUCCACUGCUCCUGGAGGCUAUUUAUUCCCUUUUUGUUGCCCUUGUUGUUUACUGUCAUUGUUGAUAUUGCUGUUGUUGGAUAGGACAGAGAGAAAUCGAGAAAGAUGAGGAAGAUUGCAGAGGGGAAAGACACCUGCAGUCCUGCUUCUCCGCUUGUGAAGCGACCCCCCUGCAGGGUCUUUGCACUGGUCCUUGGGCUUCGUGCCAUGUGCGCUUAACCCGGUGGGCUACCACCCGGCCCCCAGGGAACACUUCUUAAGCUGUGAAGGUCUGCAGGUGUCUUUCUCUCCCUAUCUCCUCUUCCUUCUCAAUUUCUGUCCUGCACCAAGCCCCAACAGUAACCCUGGUGCCAGCAACAACAAAAAAGCACUUAUUAUAUAUGAUAGUUCUGUUGUUUUAUUUUUGAGCUGACUUUAAAAAAAAAAAAAAUUUAUACAAAGGAAACACUGACAAAGACCAUAGGAUAAGAGGGGUACAAUUCCACACAAUUCCCACCUCCAGAACUCCAUGUCCCAUCCCCUCCCGAUAGCCUUCCUAUUCCUCUGGGAGUACAGACGCAGGGUCAUUGUGGGGUACAGAAGGUGGAAGGUCUGGCUUCUGUAACUGCUUCCCCGCCGAAUACGGGUGUUGGCAGGUCGAUCCCUACUCCCAUUCUAGAGACAGUUUUACAAGAGCUAGAGUUAUAUGGAGAGAAAGAACAUGAACCCUGAGCACCAUUCUGGAGACAGUUUUACAAGAGCUAGAGCUAUAUGGAGAGACAGAACAUGAACCCAGAGCACCAUUCUGGAGAGUUUUACAAGAGCUAGAGCUAUAUGGAGAGACAGAACAUGAACCCAGAGCACCAUUCUGGAGAGUUUUACAAGAGCUAGAGCUAUAUGGAGAGAAAGAACAUGAACCCAGAGCACCAUUCUGGAGACAGUUUUACAAGAGCUAGAGCUAUAUGGAGAGAAAGAACAUGAACCCAGAGCACCAUUCUGGAGACAGUUUUACAAGAGCUAGAGCUAUAUGGAGAGACAGAACAUGAACCCAGAGCACCAUUCUGGAGAGUUUUACAAGAGCUAGAGCUAUAUGGAGAGACAGAACAUGAACCCAGAGCACCAUUCUGGAGAGUUUUACAAGAGCUAGAGCUAUAUGGAGAGAAAGAACAUGAACCCAGAGCACCAUUCUGGUACAUGCAGUGCCAGGGAUUUGGGCACUCGAGUCUAGCGUUCAACCAGUUAACUAUUUCUCCAGCCUCCAGUUUUAGCAUAUUAAUCGUUGGCAGACGAGGGACAACCCUGUUUCUCAGUUUUUUAUUUCCAUGAUUUAUUUUUUGCCUGCAGGUGGGGAGCCGGGGACUCGAACCGGGAUCCUGCUGGUCCUUGUGCUUCAUGCCAUGUCGCUUAACUCACUGUGUUAC